AAGGAAGUUGCACAUAACUUCCCCUACAUCUCCUCCCAAAUUGAUAUAGAAUCUUCAAAAACACAUGGAGCAACUUGGAAAAGAAAUGGCUGAGGAUAUACUAAAAAUGUCUGAGUUCAACAAAGCCAACAACUGUUUCAUGUGUGCCACUGAUAAAGAACCUGGAUGUGGCCCAAAGACUGACUGGGAAUGAAGACAAAAGAGUUCAACAGAGUAAAGAACACAAACUAGAAGUGCAGUCUUUGUUGUUGUAAAUGUAUGCUAUACCCCAUCCACACUGAAGAGGCUCUGACAUGUACAUCAACCAGGGAUAAUGUCUGCUAUACCCCAUCCACACUGAAGA